UACAGAGGUCCCAAGCGUUGUUCGGAUUCACUGGGCGUAAAGGGUGCGUAGGCGGUUGGGUAAGUCUGGCGUGAAAUCCCCGAGCUCAACUCGGAAACUGCGUUGGAUACUAUCCGGCUAGAGGAAUGGAGGGGAGACUGGAAUACUUGGUGUAGCAGUGAAAUGCGUAGAUAUCAAGUGGAACACCAGUGGCGAAGGCGAGUCUCUGGACAUUUCCUGACGCUGAGGCACGAAAGCCAGGGGAGCAAACGGG
rnacentral:rRNA from 1 species